rnacentral:lncRNA from 1 species
AGACAGGUACGAGUUGUUCUUGGAUCCGAACUGGUCACUCGACCAAAAUCAUAGUCACAUAGACAGGUACGAGCUGUUCUUGGAUUCGAACUGGUAACUCGACCGAUAGCAUAAGCAAAUUGACAGGUACAAGCUGCUCUUGGAUUGAGCUGGUCACUUGACCGGGGAUAAAGACAAAUAGACAGGUACGAGUUGUUCUUGGAUCUAAACUGGUCACUCGACAAAAAUCAUAGACACAUACACAGGUACGAGCUGUUCUUGGAUUCGAACUGGUUACUUGACCAAACAUAAGCAAAUUGAUAGGUACAAGCUACUCUUGGAUUGAGCUGGGCACUUGACCAAACAGAAACAUAUUGACAGGUACAAGCUGCUCUUGGAGUGAGCUGGGCACUUGACCGAUAACAUAGG